rnacentral:lncRNA from 1 species
AAAAAAAAAAAAAAAAAAAAAGCUAAGAGAAUAAUGCAAAUGAGAAGCACUUUUUUCCCACGCACUUAUUAAGGUCCACCCCACCGCAUUUUAAGGCUCAAUCCGAAUCGUCCAUCAUCGUAAACUUUACUUGCAUUGUAGUCCAAAAAUACAUGCAAACACCUCAACUUCAUAGAUUUAACAGUGUUCUUUUUUAUCACGAGACCAAGCACAAACUAUAUAAUACAAUAGCAGGUUUUUCAAUCUAGUGCUCAACUCACUGCUUUCUCAAAAUGUUACAAUUAACAUAUGGAGAAAGCAAGAGUUGAGCACUAUACGUCCCAUUUGGGUUUAAAGAAGGAAGAGCAAAUGCAACAGAAUCUUAAUUGUUUAAAACCAAAUUUCCAGUAACUUCGACUCAGGAAUGGAAAAGCAAAGUGAAAGCAUAAAUUCAUUUUGACCAUAGACUCAAACCAUAAUGGUGCCAAGAUUCAUAAACAAUGUAUCAAUAAAUAAAAGGGAAAACUUCAAAAACCCCCCCUGUGGUUUCGUGCAGUCUCACUUUGCUACCCUGUGGUUUAAAACGUAUCAAUUUGUCCCCCUGUGAUUUCGUUUUUAUCUUUUUGUUAUCAAUUUUAUUAUUUUUUUUUUUUAAAUCAGUGACAAAGUUAAAAUUAAAGGAUACUAAAGUGACUAUUCGAUAAAUAUAGAUGGUUAUCUGAAGUUUUUUGUAUAUAAUUUAACGAAAUAUUAACGAAAAAGCUUCCGAAAAGAUAAAAAUAAAACCACAGGGGGGUAAAUUGAUACGUUUUAAACCACAGGGUAGCAAAGUGAGAAUGCACGAAACCACAGGGGGGUUUUUUGAAGUUUUCCCUAAAUAAAAUAUAAGCUUUCAAAGGGUACACAAAGCCAUACAACACAAGUCAAUCCCAGAAGUCAUGCAUUGGUAGAAAAAGUCGAUUGCAUAUUCUUCCUGCAGAUCUGUGUAUCACGUCCCCGAAAAGAAGUCCUGCAAAACAAAUUGCUCGCGAAAUGAUAAAAGAUGAGAAGCAUAAGUGCAAUAAAAGAAAAGGCAAAAAGGGGAUGUUUUGAAAGGAGAAAAGACAUGGUCAGAGUAAAUGGGCCAGCGCAAAUGCGGCUUUCUGCGAAAACAAGCAAGAUUUUAUGCUGUGGAAUACACUGCUUUCGGUCAAGCAACAAUCGCAAGCUUAAUGCAUACUCCUAGUUUAUCUUAUGAUUCCUACUGCUAGUUCCAAUCUGAUUUAGCCAGGUAUAUCCUCUCGUAAAGUAUCUGAAUAAUCUUUUUGGGUGAAAAAAUUAGUUAGCCUUUCCCUUUUGUUCUCUUAUAUAUGCCUUACUCUUCCAAACACAGAUCCCAGCUAGCUGCAAGCAGAGUAAAGAUCAAGAGCCAAAUGAAAAUUGGAAGCCCACAAAGAAAGCUUCAAACUAUGGUUGACGAUAAUACACUGCGACUCAAAUCAAUCAAAUCCGAUCGACAAUACAAGUUUAAACAAUAUACUAGCCAAAUCCAAUUUAGCAGGCUUUCUCGCUGGUCCAAUCUACUUAGCAUUCUUUAAGAAAAGCAAACAGCCGAGCAAAAAAUAGAGAACAUAGUUAAGAACAUAGCUAAUAGGAAGAGAGAAGUACAAAACAGAAAGUGGACUGGCAAGAAAAGCUUAUAUAUUAGAUAGGCCAUCAAAGUGUGGAUUAUUGAAUAUGUGGAUUUUGCGCGGCAACAAAACAUUGUAAAUUGGUAGCAUAUUUCCCCUGCUUGUCUUUUUUCUGAAAAAAAAAUGAGUUUGUAAGAUAACCAAGUAAUAACCAAAAUAAAGAAGCUUAUCCAUCGGCAAGCUCAAUCACAUAAACUAUGAGUUAGAAAAGAAAGCACAAAUAGCAAUGAGUAGCCAAACUAGGCCUUCCAUAGCAGCUGUGUUGCUUGCUUUCAACUUUUAAUGUUUUGUAUAAGUACAUAAAGGUACUUACCAAAAUAAGCCACCAUUAGCUACAUUCAGCCAGAUGCAGGACAUCAGUUGUCAGGUACCAUAGGUGGGACCAGGAGUUGAUAGAGGUGCACCGUAGGAAUAUCUCCACUGACCACAUGCGGAGCAUUUAUCCACUUUAAUGCUGUUCUCCAAAGUACAGAAUUUACAUGACCACAUCUUAAACUUGGAUCCGGCAGCUUUAGGUUUUGCUGUGCCACAAGCUUCGCAGAUUGGUGACAGUGGCUGUAAACCAUCCAGCGUAAGUCAAAACAAAGUUAGUCAUUCUAUUAGUUGCCCAUGGUGAUAGUAACAGACGUGGGAAAAAAGAAAAAAGAAAAAAGAUAUGGAGAUAAUGCCUUGAUUGCAGAACAAAAGUGAGCUAGUUUAUGAAGGAUGCAUGGCAUAUAGUAUGACCAUGGAAGUAUACAGGUGAUCAAUUGAAUAAACAACAAAUCAAACUCUUCCUGCACUAUUACACACUGGAGCACAGGCCCCUGAUUGUACAGGAUUAGAGAGUUAAUAUGCAAGUUUGUGUUAACAUAAAGAAACGAACAGUCAGAGAAGAAAGAGUUCUACAAAUGGAACCAUUCCAUGCUUUGAAGACACAUAUAGACCCUCUUUUAGGUUAACCAUAAUAAGCUAUAACAGGAAUUGAAAUAACACAAAUUAUAUAAGACAAAUAUUGGAUAACAUUAGAAGUUUCAAGCCUCUAAGUGGACAAGGAAAGUAGCAAACAGGUGGUGGACAAGAUAUAGUAGUAACACAUACAAAGAAUUCAAAUGUUGAUGAUCGCUUGCUGUGUUUUGUCACGUAUUGAAAGUAUAAAUAGGCAUAAUGAACAAAAAUCCUUCCAAUCUUGUUGAGCACAACAUGAUUUUUUUUAAUUAGCAUCCACAUAUUUGCUAAGCAGGAUUCAAAGACAAAACAUGUCAAUAAAAAUUAGAAUGGCUACAAAGGAAAUUUCAUAUUUUGAAAAGUCAGUCUAAAUUGGCUGCAAGUAGCAUUUAGGGCCAAACCGGAUAUAUCUAAGGGCGGUUAAUAUCACUUCCUUAUAGUUCUUAGAUAACUUCGAUAGACUGCAAUAUAAAUGGUAACCAUGUUCCACAUAGAUUAGCAUAAAACAUGAUUCAAUCUACAGAUAUGCUGUCAAAUUUAGGUUUCACUUUACUUGAACCUGACCUUUUGCUGUCAAGCAACAUCCCAAUAUUCCAAGUAAAUGACAAAAGAGCCAAAACCUAAAAACCAUGAUCCCGGACUAAGCAUUCAAACCUUACAUAUAAUUUAUAAAGGUAUGCAUAUAUAAGCAGCCAUCCUAGUACAAACGUGGAUCAAAACAUCAAAUUCAGUUAAUCCCUCAUGCUAACUCUUGAGACAACAUUAAAACAAGUAAAUAUAAUUUUCUGGGCCUUUUUCACCAAAGCCAAAUGUGUCUCCAGGCAUCUGCAAGUUACACAAGUCCAUGUUCAAAAUGAUGGUAUUCAUACACCAUUUGAAAAGUUAAUGUCGUGAUCAACUAUUUUGUCACUUCUAAUGAGGUAUGUGAACCUCUGUGGAAAGACAUGCAAAAACUGCAUAUGCUUGGUAAUCUUAUAUUAUCAUAUUAAGCAUUACUAGCAAGUAUAUAUGCUGAAAAGAAUAACUCUGGUCACGUCUACUAUCAAUUUAAUAAAUUUGAGGGUGUUUGCUAACAUGAAAUUUAGCUGAUUUCAGGUUAUUGCUUACAAGAGAAUAAUAUCAGAUGUCCAUCAAAGGCUCCAGACAAGGUAUAAUUAAGUAAACCAUCUCUAAGCUAAUUAAUACUCUGUAUGAGGUAUGCUUAAUUGUUGAUGAUAGAAUGUCCACAUAAGUUACGAUCCACAGUCAGAAAUAAACAUUAUAUUAUUAGAUAUAAUUAGGUGAAAUAACAAGCUCAGUUGCAUAGGUUCAUUAAUGCUUGUUCUACAGUAGUGCAUCAAUAUAUUUUAAAUUAAACUAUCUACAAGAAUAUACAGUACAUCAUUAAAUCCCUAGCAACGCAGACAGAUUUUUAAGGUGCUUGUGCUGCCUAUUCCAAUGUCUACAUUGUCAGUACAACACCACGAAAAAUAAGAAGUGACAUUUAAGAAACUUUUAUGGAUCCUUAAACUCUUUUACAUUGAGAGAUCCUAGAAUAAAGGGAAUAAGUUCUGCUCUUUCCAACAUCUCACUUAAAACAACUAAUAAUUAGUACACUAGUAAUUUACUAAAUAUCCAUAAAAUGAACUAAGAAUACAUUGCACUCCAUUAAUCUCAAACAGAAGAAAGAUGGAAAAGGGAUAGUAAUAGAAUAGUAUUAUCUUACCUGAUUCAGUAAAGUGCAAACACUGCAUUCCCACAUAGCUCUAUCUUCAGCACUAUCUGCCGUCCAAUUAGAAGAUGAAACACCAGAUACCGAUGCUCCACGAUAUCCAACGUCUGGUGAAGACCCAGUAGGUGCACCUUCAGUACCAGUCCGUAAUCUUUUGCCAGUCCCAUCUUUCUCACCAUGAGAAGAACCUGCUCCCCCAAUAUCCUUACUACUACUUUCUGCCACAGUAGGCAAAUCAUGCCAUCCAGAAGCACACCAUACAUCAUCAUACAAUCUCCUCUCCGCCGCCAUAGCGGCAGCUUGUAUAGGACUAAGAGCACUCAUUAUAUCAUUGUUCCCACCCAGCCGUCUUGGCCCGGAUGGCAUUAGAGCACUGCCACGUGCUCGCUUCUCUGCCGCGGCUAGUGCAGUUUGCCGAAGAGACGAGACCGGAGGUUGACGGGAAAAACCACCCAAUCGUCUCCCAGGAGCAUCGAAUCCCUGCCCUGUACCCGUUAUUCCCUUUGACAUAAGUUCCUCGCAUUCCUGCACCAUGUGAACCAAGUUCAACUGUCGCUGUGCACAUCCUUAUAUAAUGGCAUGAGGUGACUAGCACGAGGGAUCACACAACUUAUGGCAUACUAAUUUCUAGUUUAGUUCCUAGUUCCAACUUUUGGAUUUUUAUGUUUGGGUCCCUGUCCUUUGCAUUUCUUUGAAACAUUAUCCUUUUCAGUAUAAGAUCACUCCGACAGAAAUAUCCACAUAGUUGUUAUCUAAGCUUCACAUAAGCAACUUUCGACCUUCUCAUAUGGCAAUUACACAGGCAUUUGAUUUCCACAAGAAGAAACUUAAUGAAAAUGAUACGAUUGUAGAGGAAUGCAAGGUUAGUGACCAAACUAUAAUAAUUGAAAGGUCGAAACCAAACUAAAACAUUGUAUAAGGCCUGGGUGAAAUUUAGCCCCUUACAUGAUGAACCACACAGCAAAGAAACACAAAUGAGAAGCUACAAAUUAAGGGGGUAAAGUCAAAGAAAUAUUGAAGCAUCAUGCAGGCAACAAUCGUUCCUUUUCCCCUUCAUAUUCUAUCAACAAUUCAUCGUAAUUUUAUUGAAGCUUCACUACAAUAAGCGCAAAUCAGCACAGAAAUAAGAACUAGAAAGAGGACUUUGGGGCGGGAACCGCAAAAUCUAUUUCCUUUGAUGGUUAUCCAGAAACUUAUAACAAUCAGAGAAAGGAAAUAAAUAAAUAAAUAAAUAGAUCUUUACAUCUAUCAAACGUUACUACUUCAUUCAAACCCUAGCCGCCUCAUCAAGAUAGGAUUUUUAGGGCAAACCUUACGAAUUUCAUCCCAGAGCUUGUAAAAUUGGGCAUUAUGUGGCCCAUGCUCGAUGUGGCAGAGCUCGUGAAGCAUCGUGUCGAGAACCUGAUCGAAGGGGAAGAAGUCCCAAUCCCUAUUGGGUCUCCGCAGCCGCAGCUUCACCUCGGCGCCUCCCCCAACGUUCAGCCCUAGAAGCGACGGAUUCGCUGGGCUAUAGCGGAGACGAAGAGAUCACGAAGAAGAAGAAGACGAGGAAGAAGGAGAGGGAGGAGGAGGGAUCGCGUACCAAAACUCGGAGAGGAGCUUGACCCGCCAUUUGCGGCGGCGCAUGAUGGGCUCGACCUGCUUCGCGACGCGCUGGAGCAGGGCGCCCGCCUCCUCCUCGCCGGGCUUCUUGAGGGCUCUGAUCUCCCACACCUUGUUGAGGUCGCCGAGGUUCAUGGCGCUCGAGCGGGAGCGCGGAACCGCGAAAACCCUAACCCUAGAUCGAAGACGAUGGGGAGAAAGGGGGAAGGGGUUUUUGAAGGAGUGAUCGAGCGCGGGAGAUCGCUGGGGCGAUGCGUUCGUUUUUGUUCGAUCUCCUUCGUUUUUAUCUCGCGGGAAUCGAGGCUAAUGCUGCUUAGGCAACAAGCUGAGGGCAGAUUUGGAAAUUUGACCCCAAAAAUUUAAUUAUAUUUUAAUUUUUUAUUUUUUUAAAAAAAAAUCAUUCUAAUUACAUAUUUUAUUUCUGAAAAAUUAUGAAAAAUAUUUUGGCUUUUUGAAAAUAUUACUUUUAUAUAUUAAGUGAAAACAUAUAAAAUUUGCCUGAACUAUGGACUAUUUAAUUUAGUUACUUAAUUUUUUAAAAUUUUAAUUUUAUUAUCAAAUCUUUCAACUUAUUUUAUUUGAGUCACUCAGCAAUACUAAAUUUAAAUUUUGAAUAUAUUGUUUAUCUUUACAGAUUUUCUUUGUAUUAUUUAUACAAUAAUGUUCACAAUUAUGCAUUCAUUAAAAUAAAUAAUUAGCUUAAAUUUUGAAAUUAAAAUGCUGUUAAUUUACUCAAAUCAAACAAAAUUGUAUAUGAAAAUCAAAAUUUUAAAAGGUUGAAUAACUGAAUCAAAAUAGUCCACAGUUUAGAUACAUUUUGUAAUUUUUACCUAUAUAUUAUUGACGCAUUGCCAAGUAUGAGAUCAAAACUUUAGUUCCACGGAGGAUAUCAGAACAUACUAGUCAUCACUCAUCAAAGGGAGAGGUACAACGUUAUAAUAAAUCUCAUCUUAUUUUCUAUCCAUAUUAUUUUGUUAAAUUAUAUUUGUUUAGAUAAUUAAAAUUAAAGUUUGAAAUAGAGAUUUAAGAUUUGUAAUUCAUAAAUAUAUGGCAUACAAAUAUGCAAAUGCACUGGAUAUAAGCAAUUAUUUUUUUUUUCAAAAAUCAUGACACUCUCUUUGUAGGCUCUUUUUAGGUUUUGUUUUGUUUUUUUUUAUUUUUUGCUUCUUUCACUUUUGUUUUUUUUUUUCUUUACUUCCUUGUUACUUAUUCUCUUGCCUUUUCUUUUCCUCCCUCCAGGCCUAAGUGUUUCAUAUUUAUAGUUAAGUUCCUAUUUUUUAUAAAUAAAGCGGGUAUUGUAGUUGAGAAGUCUUAACUUAUUAUCACAUGCCAGUUUUAUUUUUAUUUAAAAGUUAUAAUCAUUCUCUCUAGGGUUUAAUUUUUAAAAAAAAUUUAAUAUUAAAAAUUAUCCAGUGUAAUUUUAAUAUGUGACGGCAGAUCGAGGGCUCCUUAAUGAGACAUUACUGAGAAGUUUCUCAAUAAAGUUUUAUCUGGCACGAUGCAUCGGAUCAGUAAUAAAAUUCUUUGGAAAUGGUUAGAGGUUAAUUGAAACACAACAUAUAUUUAAUCCAUUUGGACCAAAAUGGCCUUCUAUUUCGAAACAGUGACAUUUUGGUUCACAAAAUUUUGGUAGUGUUACCAUAUUGCACAUUGAGUAAAAUUUAGCUUUUUUUUUUUUUCUUCUAAUGGUAGUUAUAGAAUUCUGAAUUACUUUUAGUUAAAGAUUUAAAAAGUAUCAUCAUAGAUUGAAAAGGUACGUAGUUACAGAUGCAAGGUUCUAUUGAUUCUGAGUAUGAUUCAAAUGAACGCGAUCAACUGAUCUAGAUUGAGUAAGAAAACUAACGGUUUCAGAAGUAUACCGACUAAUCGACGGAUCGACGGCAAAACUACGGGACCACAAACUACCUUCAAAACAUAAAAUAUGGCGAUGUGUACGAAUUUCGGUUGAUUUGUGGGAAGUAUCUCUAGCUCACAGAAGUCGGCAACGACAUACUUCACAACGCCGAGUUUUCGCUAUACUCGGGGCACACAAAAACGUUAGUCGGCGGCGGAACUGCAUAAGUUGCCGACUCUAGUUUGGUCGCGCAUCGCGCGCCUUCUCGAAACCCCCCGAUAAAACCCGUCGUCGUCUUCUUCGUCCUCUUCGUCUCCUUCUCUUCUCCUCGCUUCGCCAUGGACGCACCUCCCUCCUCCUCCUCCUCCUGCGCCGGCACAGCUGCCUCCGCCACCUCCGCCGAGCGGCGCUCGUAGGGCUCCGCCGCGCGAAGCCGCCAUGGGGGGCGAGGGGUCUCGCUCGGCGAUUAGAGAGAGAGAGUUUGUUUCUGUGGAAAAUAUGCAUUGAGACCCCUCAACUACUCUUUCUUAUUGCGAAGCUCCCCCGUUUCUAAAGCAUGAAACAAUUAUGCGAUAGUCCUUAACCUAUCGCGAUAUUGUUACUCUGUCCUCGACCCAGAAAAACAUAGACUAUAGUGUUACGCUAUNAUCGACGACGAGUGGCUCGUCGUCUCCCUCCUCUACGCCGCGUCCCGCGCCGUGCCCUCGCUCUCGAUCAGCGUCUGGGACUCCGACGGCGAGUUCCUCCUCAUCGAGUCCGCGUUCGCCCUCCCGCGGUGGCUCAACCCCGAGUCGAGCGCCAACCGCGUCUUCAUCCGCCGCGGCGAGCUCCACAUCGUGCCCAAGGACCGGUUCCCCACGAACCCCUCCCUCGAAGACGCCCUAGAUGCCGUUCGGAGCGACGAGAUCGAGACCCGCGCCCCGGAUCCCGUCCAGGACGCGAUUAAUCGGCGAAUCGAAGGGUACCCCGAGCGCGCGAGGGAGAACAUUCAUCGGGUUACGGUUAGGGUUCCGCUCCCUGUCGCCCAGGUGUUAAAGGUGGAGCCUUGCUUGAUCUCGCUCGCCGUGGAGGGUUUCUACGACCGGGACGUGGACUCCAUGAAGCACGCGGCUCGGAUGGAGCGGUUCCUGAAGAGCGACAAUGGUGAGAUCGAGAUGGUUAGGGUUGCGGUCAUGAUGUCGAGGGCGAUGUACGCCCAAUUGGUGCAGCAGAGUUUUCAGGCACCGAAUUUGUAUCCGAUGCCGUCGAGGGAAGAGGGGCCUGCGGCUUACGGAGAAGCCGAAUUGGGAAUGAAAAUAGCUUGUGGAUUCGAGAUGAUGUACCAGGAAAGGCGCCGCUCCGGGGAGAAAGGCACGGGAAGCACUUGGGAAGUGUUCAGGAAGAGCUUGGAAAGCAGUGGGUGCUUUGAAGGGCUUCUUCCGGGAUCAAAAGAGUAUCAGAGGAUAAUGGAGGAUGCGUUCCAAUAUUACAAGAGCACUACUCUCUUCUCACGAACAAGGUAUUAUUUAUGUAAAAAUGUAUAUACAUUACUAGAGCUAUAGCACAUUUCAAAAUUGGCACCUGAAUAAUCUUACAGUAUGUGGAAUUUCCGUAAAGCAGUUAUGCAUGUUCCAUCAGGUAACGUAGUGUCUCGUUAAGCCCGUAUGCUUUUACCUGUUAUUUGUUUAGUAUUGAAACAAUCCUUUGGAGACAGAAGCUUGACGGAAAAGAGAGAGUCGACAUCCGGUGGGUGCUCUAAUCUUCUUUUUUUUUUUUUUUAAUUGAUAUAGGGAGAUAAUGAAUGCACCUGUUCGUCGCAUAGAUGAAAUUCUCUCUAUGCCCCACUCAGCUGAUGAUUUCAAAGGUAUCGAGCUUCCUCCGAAUGAUGACGAAUCAUGGCUGUAUAAUGGAGAAGAUGAGUUAAAUUUAGCUCUUCAAGAAAGGCAGAAGGAAAUGGAAGAGUAUGAGGCUGCAAAGAAGCAGAGAAAACUGAAGCAGAAGGCUGCUGAGAGUGGUUCCAAUUCGCUGACAAAUAAUUUCAAUGUUGGAGAUAUAUCAGAAAGUAUGCAGGAAUUUGUUCGAAAAGUUUCAAGCUUUCAGGGAGCUGAGGUUCCUGAAAACAGGUUCACUUUUAUGUCCAUCGGCAAUUCUUACUAGCCAGCUACUUAUAUCAUGCUUUAUUCAAGUCCAGAUCCUAAUCAAUUGCUUUAUUAUUUGAUGCUUAAGUUCCUUUCUAGUUCAUCUGCUAUGAAAAUCUGAAUUUUUUUUUUCUUUUUUUGACAUACGACUCAUACUAAGCAUGUGUUUAAGAUCGAACAAAGAAUUUGGACAAAUUCUUAUAAAAAGCAUUCAUAUCUAAACUGGACUUCUUCACUUAAUAAUAGUUAAUACAACUCAAAUCAGAUCCAAAGAGAUUCUAGUUGAUAUGAUUUGUCACUCCAAUUGUACAUGCAACUACACUGAGAUUGAUCCUUGUGCAUAUAGAUAGCUCUAGCCCUGUUGGACUGAAUACCACUUGAUUGUUAAUCGGAUUAGACCGUUAUCUGCACUUUGUGCUAUAAAUCAUCUUAUGUUGAAUGAACAUUUGAUUAUUUAGCUAAAAUGUGUUCUAUUCUAUCUCUUAAAUUGUCUCUAUUUUUCAUGUUGUUGCUGUUCUGCUCUUUCUGUUGUCAGUUUUUUCCGGUUGAGUUUUCUCCUUUAGGCACUCUUCACAAUUUUGAGCUGGUCUUAAGUCUGAGGUCAAGAAGAAAAACAUACUUUUAAUGACCUAAAUUUAUGACGAAUUUAAUUUCCUUUCUUGAAGAAAAUCAAAAGCAGUGGAACUUGAUGCAGACCAGUUCUUUAAGGCCAUGGAAUCUGUGUUAGGAGGGAUAUCACACGAAGGAGCUGCUGGGGAUGCUGAUUUUGAAGGAGCCUCGUCAUCAUCUGAUAUGGAAUUUGGUAUUUUUCUUCAUUGUCCUUCCAAUGCUCAAUUAUGCUUUUUCUCAUUCUAUUUUCUUUAUGUGUUUAUUAGUUGGCAUUUUUUCAGUUGGGCAGAGUUUUAGCUAUUUUAAAGGCCUUAAUGUUGAUUAAGUCACUGACUUACUGGAACCAUAUUUGUUGUUUUCACUAUGAUAUUUCGUAACCCUUAAUUUUGCAAUUAUUUGUGUAUUACAUAUUUACAUAGCCUUCUUAUGAAGCAAAUGAUUUAUCUGCUUAGCAUAAUGGUAAUUUCCUCGCUACCUUUUGCUGGUAACACUUAAUAUAGGAUGUUGAGUAUUAGUGGGUGCAGUGCAUAAAUCCUAUCUAUAGACUAUACAAUAAAUUUGAAAUGUGUCUCUUAGGAGAGUAAAGAAGAUUUGAUAUGUUGUUAAUUAACUAAGGAGCUUUUUGAGGAUUCGUCAACAUUUGUUGUCGACAUUUAUUUACCAAUCAGAAAAUAUGUGGAGGCAUCUGUUGAUUACCUUGCGUGGUACUUUAAAGUAUUAUAUUUAUUCUGGCAUACUACAUUCUGAUUAGCAUUUCUACUGUUGUUACUUUUUCACCUUAUUUUCGUGGUUGGGCUAAAACUGCAGCCUUGGUAUCUCACCUUGUACUGAUAGCUACAAUUUUGCAGAUGAUUCUGAAGAUGGAAGUGAUUUCGCUGAGGAAGGUGGUGACAAGGACAAUGAGGAUACUUUUAUGCAGUCAUAUACUGAUGCCUUGAAUAAAGAGCUAACUUCAACUACCCUUGGAAAAAGCUUUGUUCGUGCAGAGCGCUCCAGCAACGAGAAUGAGGUGAUCUUUCAUUAACUUUCUAUUGCAAUUCAGGCCCAUCUUUGAAGACAUUCCUUUUUUUUUUUCUGAGAGAAUGAGGUGAUCUUUCAUUUACUUUCUAUUGCAAUUCAGGCCCAUCUUUGAAGACAUUUCUGUUUUUUUUUUGACAUUUAAUGUUUGGUUGAAAACAAUGUUAAAUACCAAUGUCGAUUUACUUACAAAUUGUUCUGGAUUAUGUCUCUCAUCUAUCUUUUUUUCAAAAACCUCAACCCAUUGUUUAUUUAUUUAUUUACUUACUUAAAGAUGCAUGAUUUUGGGUAACUACUUACCUUUUCUGAAAUGGUCUUCAAAUUGUGAAUGCAGAUUUUUUUUUUUUUUUAAAUUCAUUGUUCAUUCAUAUUAUUUAGUCAGAGUAUUCUCUCGUAUUUGCUUGCUUGAAACUGAGUUAAUACGUACAAUGCUACAAUUUCGUGCAGUGAACUUAAAUAGGUCUUGGAAACCCUAGUAUUUUCUGCGUUUCCCUUCUAUUUUUGUAGAUUUUAAAAAAUAUUUUUAUUGUAGCUUAUUUGGACCAUAUACAUCUGCCAACUGUAUGUGGUCCAUUAUUGCAUAUAUACCAUUACUGCCUUCUAGAGCAUUCCAAAGAAAACCCUAAUAUUUAUUAUUAGUAAUUCUUCGUGCCAAUAUUCAUAAUUAGUUACAUGUCUUUUUUAUAUUUAUUUUAAUCACAUUAAAUGUUGGUGUUGUCCAGGGGCCUUCAAAUGCCACGGAGGACAUGGAUGAGGAGUUAACUCCUGUUGACGUCGAUUUCAACCUGGUGAAAAACUUCCUCGACUCGUUUUCUUCACAACAAGGCCUCCCGGGCCCGGCUUCGAACCUCCUUGGACUCAUGGGUGUCAAUGUCCCCCCUGAUGCUAAAAAGGAGUAAUUACACCGCAUGUGAAGCAAACACGAAGCUACGGCACUAACAAAGUUAACAUCAAUUUUGACUAUGCCGCAAGACCGAGUUCAUCCUGCAGUAUGAGGUCAGUGCGGAAGUUGAUUUUAAAGUGUUGUGAGUAUUUAAACUCUAUAUAAUAUGAAAUUUAAAUGAGCUUCUCAGCACUGUAGAAGUUUUCAUGGCUACAUGUGGGCAAAAUAUUUAUAGAGAUGAUAAGAAGAUAUGGCGCUGAGGACAUUGUUUUCGACCUUUUUUUGAGAUAAAAAGUCGAGUAUAAUCAGCUUAUAAUUAUGCAUACCCUGUUUAGCAUGUUUCUUUCAUUUGCUCAAGAAGCUUGUAGUAUUUAGUAGAUGAACAGCAUGAUCAAAUGUCUAGAAAGUUAUACUAUAUUCAUCUUUCAAUUUUAUUUUUUAUAAUAAGAUAGAUCAGCUCGGAGGUGAAAUACAACAUCGUAUUAAAUCAUUGUUUGCCAUAUUGAUUAGGCCUGUGUAAAUAUGAAGCUACUUCAUAUUGAUGCAACCCUUGAUCACUGAUUGUUGUGAAUGAUUACUACAGAACAGAUCGUGUUCUCCUCUUUGUAUUGUAAUGUUCCAUUAAUGUUUACGUUUAGAAUGUUGAUGGUUUUGUUUUCGUUACUCUUUCACUCUGGAACAUAUAAACCAUGUCAUAGCAGGUUUUGCAUAUUAUCGAAAUAAAUUAGUCAUUUUAAUCUAGAUUCUACUUUCAUGUAGUAUUGAGAGAGGGCACGACAUUAUUCAGGAAUAAAGAUGGUUUUUUUCCACAAAGAAUUUUUCGUAAUGUGGUAUUCAUCUUUAUCUCAUUUACCUUCGUUGUAUGAAUUAGUCCUCAAAAAGUUUUUUGUUUUUGUUUUUUUGUUUUUUUUUUUUUUUCUCUUCAAACAUGAGAAGUAGAAAAAAAAAAAAAGAAAAGAAAAAAUAUUAAGCAAUUGGUUAAGGAGGUUGAUAGUUAGUACUUGAAGUUUUAAUUUUGAAACUUAGUUUAUAUUUCUAUCCGAAUUCAUUUAAAAAAAGGGAAGAUAGUGAAUUGUUUACCACCUUCUAAAAAAAGAAAAAAAUAAUAUCAACACGAGACCAAGAUAACAGCGACAGUGGCCAAGAACUACACGAUAAAAAUUAUGAAUUUUAGAAAUCCAUUUUAUUACGUUUAGGAUUGCAAGCGAAUUGUGUCAUAUUUUGAUUAUUUAUAAGGGUAAAUUUUAAAUACCAUCCCUAUGGUUUCGCGUUUUCUCAUUUUAGUACCAUGUGAUUUAAAGUGUGUCAUUUUAGUAUCCCGUGAUUUUAUUUUUCUCUUUCCGUCAGUACCUCUCUUAACUCUCUAUUAAAUUAUAUAGAAAAAGUUUUAGAUUUCUCACCUACGAUUUAUCAAAUGUUUACUUUACUGUGGUUUACCAAAUUUUCACUUUAAUACCUAGUGGCUUUAACUUUAUCACUGAUUUAACAAAAAAAUUAACAUAUGGAAUAACGAAAAGAGAAAAAUAAAGUUAUAGGAUAUUAAAGUGAUAUAUUUUAAAUAGAAAACUUCAAAAACCCCCCUUGUGGUUUCAUUUUUUUUCACUUUAGUAUCCUGUGGUUUAAAAUGUAUCAAGUUAGUACCCGUGGUUUCUCACUAUAUCACUUUAGUACCCUGUGGUUUAAAGUGAUCAGUUUAGUACCCUGUGGUUUUGUACUUUAUCACUUAGUACCUGUGGUUUUAAUUUGUAUCAAGUUAGUACCCUGUGUUUUUUAAAUAGGGUACUAAAGUGAUAAAGUGUGAAACACAGGGUACUCAAAGUGAUAAAGUGCAAAACCAGCAGGGUACUAACUUGAUACACUUUAAACCACAGGGUACUAAAGUGAUAAAGUGAGAAACCACAGGGUACUAACUUGAUAAACUUUAAACCACAGGGUACUAAAAUGAAAAGUGUGAAACACAGGGAGGGUUUUGAAGUUUUCCUAUUUUAAAUUAUAGGUAUUAAAUGAGAAAGUGUGAACCACAGUUGCUAUAGUUGUCCAUAAUAAUGUUUUAGUGACUUUAAAUAAAAUUCUAUAUAUGAAACUUAGAGGCCUUUUAAAUGUCACGCCGUCCUAGCUCACCGGUAGAGCGCACGGCUUUUAACCGUGUGGUCGUGGGUUCGAUUCCCACGGACGGCGUUUUUUUUUUUUUCGUUUUUUUAAUUUUAAAUUAUAAUAUAUAUAUAUAUAUAUAUAUAUAUAUAUAUAUUGAAAUUAAAAAAGAAAAACAAGUGAAGGAAAUUUUUUGGAAGCUACGUGAACUUUGGUUCGAUUACCAAUUUCUCAAAAUAUAAAUAAUUAAAUAAAUUACUGUUUAAGCUUUUAAAAUAAUCGAUUGUGUCGCCUAAUAUCACGUAGUGUCAAGGAAACGCGCGGCUCUUAAUUUUUUUAAAUUUUUUCUCUGCCAAACACCAAUUGUGUUAUUGGGUGUUAAUUAUAACAAAACUUCAAAAUAGGUUUUUUGUCUUUUUUUUUUGUUUACUUUUUGAGUUGUUCGAGACUCAUUCGUUAAAGACAUUUAGAAUAUAUAUAAAAAUAAUUUAAACUAGAUGACUGAUUGACGUAAAGAACUUGAUGAUUGGUACUCGCGAUUAUAAGUUCGAAAUUUAAUUAUUUUAUAUUUAUAACUAAGUUUAUGUCUGAAAAAAUUGGACAAAUGUAAUAGGAUGCUACCAUACAUUAUCUCUCUCUAAAAAAAAAUCAAACGAAAAAUAGUUACUUUCAAUCGUGUAAUUAAUUUUCAAUCAUGUCAAAAUUUAUUUAUUAUUACAACUGUAUACAACCAAACAGCCCACACAACGUACUGUGAUUUACACCAACUAAGAUAACAUUCACAUGUUUACUGCUUUAUUAACUACAGUGGUAAACCCAAGAAAAGGACUCUCUUUUGUGGCUUCAAUUAAUUCUCUCUUUUUUUUUUUUCUCCCUCUCUUUCUCUCACUUUAUUUUUAUUUUUAUUUUUUAUUUUUUGGGGGCCUUAUGUGUAUAUAUACGUAAUGGGAAAGGGACUCUUCUCCCCACAGGUUUUUAAUUCUUGCCAUGUUUGUGUCAUUUGAUUGAUUGGUUGCUAUCUUGUUGUUGGCCACCUCUUGCACUUUCUCCAUCACCUCAUCAUCCCCACCACCAUGUAUUAAUGCAACUCCAUAUAAAACCCUAACUCUAACCCUAACCCUAACUUAAAUUGAGGAGCACUUCAUUUGAAGUACUCAUGUUCUCACUUAAGAACUAUUAGAGUGGUUUUAAGUAGAUUUAUUAUGUAAAUUUGGGAGCCACAAUUAAUACUUUCAGUUUUGCUGAUUAGAUUUGAAUUCAUAAUUUUUUACUCUGAUGUUAUAUUGAUGUUAUAUGAAAUGAUCGUUUGUCUUUAAAAGUUUGAACUGUUAGAUAAUAAUGUUUUUACUAUUUAUAUUCAACAGUUAAAAGAAAUAAGCUCUGCGAAGCUAGAUUAUACGGCAGGCUAUUUAUGUAGAGUUAUGAGAAACAAUUAAUUUGUUAUAAGAAAUGUUCUUCUGCAAUAUGAUCAAUCCUUUGAUAGUUCUAUAUGACAUUUUACUAACUUUAUAUCGACAAAGAUAUUAACAGUAUAUAAAAACACUAUUUUAGAAAGUAAAUUAUAGCACUAUUUUUUACAAAGUCGGACCAAAAUAGACGCAACACGCUAAAUCAUAGAGGUCACAAUAGAUCCUUCCCGUGUUGAAAAUAUAUAUGACAAUGAUGUAGAGGGACAGUUUUGUUGGAGCACUACUACUGUAUUUCAUUAUAUUGUUCUUAUAUAUUAUUAAUGUAUUUAUCAGACGGUAUACAUAGGUUAGCUGAUAUUCAUCGUGAAGGCUAGGAAUGUAAUCUUAAGUUGUUUCCAACUAUAGAUCUUGUGGGUAAUAUAAAUAAAUUUAUAUGCAUUAUGCUACUUUAAACUGCAUGCUGGUGUUGGUAAAAUAGUGAAUAUUUUAUAUAAUACCAUGAAUUAGGAAGUUUUGUCAAUCUCCUAAUUAAUCCAAGUGGGUGAGUAAUAAAUUUAUCAUUCAAAUAUAUAUAUAUAUAUAUAUAUAUAUAUAUAUAUAUAUAUAUGAACUAAGCUGGAAUACUAUUAAUAGCACUAAUAACUUGAUGCUAUUAAGUUUUAUGCCCUUGAAUUAAAAAAUAUGUGGUAAGGAUGAUGUGGCCCCCCUAGGGUUGAGUGGGUAGUUGGUUGAAUAGUAUAAUCGAACGGAUGAAAAUGAUAAAAGAGAUAAAUAUAACGGCAGAAAACUUGAUAGCACCAAAUCCUUCGUGCUAUCGACAGUAUCCCAGUCGGACUCUCUCUCUCUCUCUCUCUCUCUCUCUAUAUAUAUAUAUAUAGGCUGGAGUAUUAUACUUUUAUGAGUAUAGGCCCCUUUGUACUCAUAAAUUUUUAACCGUUAAUUGAUGAGAUGUGUAGUUAGGAUGAUGGUGGUCCCCACUUAGAAUGAUAGUGGUCCCCUAAGAUUGAGUGGGUAGUUGGUUAAAUAGUAUGCUCUAACGGAUAAAAACGAUCAAUGGAAUAAAUCUAAGGGCCGAAAACUUAUGAGUAUAAGGAAGCUAAUACUCAUAAAAGUAUAGUAGCCGGACUCUCUCUCUCUCUAUAUAUAUAUAUAUAUAUAUAAUAUAUAUAUAUCAUUUUAUAAUAUUUUUAAAAUAUAUAAUUUUAACAUUUUUAAAAGAUUAUAGCUAGUAAUUCAUAUAUAUCAAGCAGUAUAUAUAUUGGGGCCUCAAAGCCCUCAAUGAAUCAAUAAUGGAGAGGCCGGGGUUGUGGGGUUAGGGAUGCAAAUGGAUUCGGAUUGCCUGUUAGAGCUCCCGUCCCAAAUAGAGCAGUAAAUGAAAAUCAUAAAUAUAGAAAAAUCAACCUGUUCUGAUCCACUUGAUCCGCAUCGAUUGGAACGAUAAGUAUGGGGCCACAAAUAAGACUAAAAUUAAUCCGUCUCGAACAUGUCCCAACCUGAUAGGCUGAUACAAAAUGGAGUGAGAGGUGGGGUAUCUCUCCCGCCCCUGGAUCCGCCCAGUUUGCAUCUCUACUGGAGGUGGCAAUGAUUUAAAACAAAAACGGUGCCAUGAAACACUACAACAGAAUUAGGUUAUAGGGACACAUAUUUGGGACAUUUUGAGUAAGUGUCCUAUUUAUCCUAAAACAUAAAAAAAUAUCUACUAAUUCCUAAAUAUAAAGCCCAAUCCAACCAAAAAUAAAAUAUUACUCUACUCAACCCACCGCACCCAGUUCAUUUGGCUCGAUUACAAACAGAAAAGAAAAAAAAAGAAAAAUUAAUUACCAUCUUUUUUUCUCUCUUCACUCAAUCCACUGAAAUUCUAGACGAAGAGCCUUUCCUGUCGUCCUCCUUCGCCACCGCAGCCAACAAGAUAGAGUUUCGGCGGUUGCUAAAUGCUUAAAUAAGUGUUGAUAAAUUAGCAGCACUCUUUUAGAUUAUAGCGACACUCUUUAACUGUCACUAUAUACCUAGCAACCCCAUAUAUAGCAACAUUUUUUAAAAGUGUCGGUAAUUUUAGCUAGCAGUAUUUUUUUGACAUCUAUCUAUAUUUAAAAGUGUCGCUAUAGACCGUUUUUAUUGUAGUGAAACGAUCAGUGGUGACACGGGUCACAACUC